GGUGAACAGAAAAUGGAUGGAUGGAAAUUAUUUUUUCUGUCCCUGACCACAAGGCAACAAAUGAACGAGUAUCUCACUGAAAGAGCAGAGCUGCAAUGGAAGAAUUGAAAUGUAAAAUAUGUACGGAGGAGAAUUGUCAGGUCAAGAAUCUGUGAUCAUCCUUGAAAAAUGAUGUCGACUUAAAUCAGUAAAGCUUCGAGGUAAUUUGCCUUUCAAGUCUUCAUCUCAGGUGAAAUGGAGACGCUGUUGUAGGAAACCAAAAAAGGCUCUACAAAGUAUUUACUACAGGGUGUUUUUUGGUACCAGCAUUUUAUUUGACUUUUAUUUUAGGAACAUUUAGGAAACCAUGCAUCGUUUGCCAAAUGUAUCCUCAACUUUCAUUUGGCCAGUCAGCUAAAACGUACAUUGAAGUUCAUCUUUGUAAUGUCACUACAUGUGAAACAGCUCAAUGCCUUUUCAAGCUACCACAUAAAUGAUGUACA